GGGGCGGCGACCACCUCAGGGCAGAGGCUGCGGGCGUCGCUCAAUGGAGACGCCAUUUUUGGCUGGCAUGACGUUGAUGUUUCCCGCAAGAACCUCCACAGGGUGCACCUGUUAAGUUUUCGUCCUCGGAAAGCUAAAGAACGUGAAUGAAGAUUAUGGAUAACUUUCUUUGAUAGCAAGUUUGCUACGGUCUAGCGACGG